GAUUUCUACUUGACCGUCCUGGCCCGCUUUCUUUUUGAAGGUGAGUGCUGAGAUGAGUCAGGUAUCCUUAUCAAGAGCCAGGCCUAUCCUUCACUGGAUUGGGCGUGUGCGAUUGAUAUCUUUUACUUUGAAAAAAUUAGAGUGUUUCAAGCAGGCUUUAUGCUAUGAAUACAUUAGCAUGGAAUAAUAAUUUAGGACUUCGGUUCUAUUUUGUUGGUUUCUAGGACUGAAGUAAUGAUUGAUAGGGAUAGUUGGGGGUGCUAGUAUUCAGCGGCCAGAGGUGAAAUUCUCGGAUUCGCUGAAGACUAACUUAUGCGAAAGCAUU
rnacentral:rRNA from 1 species